AUUGAACGCUGGCGGCAGGCCUAACACAUGCAAGUCGAGCGGAUGAAGAGAGCUUGCUCUCUGAUUCAGCGGCGGACGGGUGAGUAAUGCCUAGGAAUCUGCCUGGUAGUGGGGGACAACGUUUCGAAAGGAACGCUAAUACCGCAUACGUCCUACGGGAGAAAGCAGGGGACCUUCGGGCCUUGCGCUAUCAGCUGAGCCUAGGUCGGAUUAGCUAGUUGGUGGGGUAAUGGCCCACCAAGGCGACGAUCCGUAACUGGUCUGAGAGGAUGAUCAGUCACACUGGAACUGAGACACGGUCCAGACUCCUACGGGAGGCAGCAGUGGGGAAUAUUGGACAAUGGGCGAAAGCCUGAUCCAGCCAUGCCGCGUGUGUGAAGAAGGUCUUCGGAUUGUAAAGCACUUUAAGUUGGGAGGAAGGGCAUUAACCUAAUACGUUAGUGUUUUGACGUUACCAACAGAAUAAGCACCGGCUAACUUCGUGCCAGCCGCCGCCGUAAAAC
rnacentral:rRNA from 1 species